UUAUUAACUAAAUACAUGUUAUUUUAAAAUCUCGAGUCAAAACGUUUUGGUAAAAGCUGCAUAGUUGCAUCCUUGUACAUAAACUGUUGAGUGUAACUAAUGUACUUGCUUUUUCCAUAAGAACGUCGUCUUCCUGUCACUCUUGAGAGUCAGUAAGUCUCGGUUAUGGAUUCUUUCUCUUAAUUAAAUUUUCUUUUAUUAAUGAUUGAUUAUUUUAUUUCAUGAAGGCUGAAUAAAUAAUAAAAAAAAGAGUCUGAAAUCAGAUCCAGCCUCCUUGCUCCAAUCCCAUCAGAUCCACCCUCAUCAGAUGUACAUCAUGUGGAGCACAGGCAUAACCACACAUAGAGUCAGAAAGCAGCAGUAAUCCAUCUGGGGUUAAGCACUUAUAGAGAAAUCCCUGGGGCCCUCUGUGUCUCUGGGUUGCACCACACUUCUGGCAAGGUGAUUGACAGCUCUGGAAACUGUUUUACUGUGCUGUUCUUGCACUGAGCAGUCUCCAGAGCGUAGGUAAUAACUAGUGUGAAAUGUUGACUAAUACAUUUUGCGGUGACUCUCCCUAAUGAAAUGUUUUCCAGCUGUUUGUGCUCUGAUGAUAAAUUCAGGUUUUCCUAGUUUGCCGAGCUUCCUUGGGAGACAAAGGAGGGAUUUCCUCUGAAACAGACAGGCAGUGGCAGCACCAACAAAUGACUGGGAGCACCCCUCAUGUUCCUGUUGUUGGCUCCAUCAGCGCUCACUGGGAAACGUCCUGGCCUCUAUUGUCCAAGAGGUCAGAGGUCACAGGAUGCUCCUAAAGGCCCAAAAGGGGAGGUAAGAGGUUGGAUAGUGAGGUCUGAUAAAGAAUGACACACUCACACACGCAUAGUAUGUUUCUCUAUCUUUACUGGGAUUUUGCAUUGACUUCCAUUCAUUUUUCAUUCAUUUCUAUAAGACAUGCCCUAAAACUAACCUAGACUCAAUUCACACUUUAGUCCUAAACUUAACCCUUAACCAAAAAACAGCACCUCUCCUUUUGGGGCCCGGGCUUUAGGCCCCAUAAGGAGCAGUCGGUCCUCACAAUGUAGUAUUUGUUGGAAAAAUGAUCCUUAGACUGUAGCAAAAACGAGGCCACACACUAACACACACACCCACGCGCACAUUUGCGCAUAUAUGCACACUCACAAGCGCCAAUUAAAUCAAAACGCUGAAACAGCAUCUUGUCACAUCACCUUUCAUUACAAGUCCAAGUCAUUAUCAAGAUUUUCAGGAAAUGAAUGAGAACAAAGCUCCGACUGACUGUUUCAUACUAAACAUCCUGACAUUCCUCAGUUCAUGUUUGGAGCUCUGCUCCUUAUUUGCGUUCUCUGAAUAUCUUCGCAGGAUGGCCUGCAUGCUUUCCUGCAGAAAGCAAGCAAAUCUUAUCUAAGAGCCGAAGUGGUGAAAUUGCACACAUACUGUAAUGUGCUUUUAACCACAGGUGGAUUUGAAAAUGUAUUAUUUAUAUGACAUGGAAAGGUUGUUGAGGAGCUUUAGUAGAAGGUUUAAAUUGUCCCAUGUCUUAUUGUGCAGAAAGAACAGGAUGAGUAGAUUCCUGUAUUCCCUGGAUAAUCAAAGACAUUUAUCUGUUUAACAGAGCAAAGCGGAGCUUUCAGUAGAAAUCCAGAUGAGUCUUGCAUUGCAGUUUUGGUACUUAUUUUUGCCAUAUCUUACAAACUACAUCAUCUCAGCAACAAUGCUCUUCUUGGUCAUGUUUGUACUUUUUUGUCUGAUUUUAUGUAUUUUACAUCAGGUAACGUUUUUCUUUUGUUUUCUUUUUCCAGGAAAUGCAUAAGUGAAACUUAAGUUGGCCUUUUAGAGAAAGCGCAUGAACGACAUCAUUUAAAAAUGUAAUAAAUCUUUAUUUGCAUUUGCAAAAAGAAUCAAAUAUAUGUUUGCACCAAACUAGACCAUCAAUCAGACAUGUUUAUUUCAUUGGCCCGUAACAUUGAUUUGAAUCCAUUCAGCAACCCUUUGUUCUUUCAAAGCAACAAUAAUUCAGGUUCUGGAGGCAUUUUAAAGCGUUUUAUUAAUUCUUUUGCAAUUCUUUGCAAUUUUGUCGACGAUCAACAGAUACAAGAUUUAUAACCAGCAGUAAGCCCUGUAGCAGCCUUCCCAGAAUGUGGUGUAACUCUUUGACACGUCACCCAACUAGGAUUUUAGAAAGCAGAAAUUAAGUUAUGAAGUUGAAAAUAUGUUGCAAGAAUCUUAGUGACACAGAAAGAAAUACUGUUAGUUAGUUAGUUAGUUAGUUAGUUAGUUAGUUAGUUAGUUAGUUAGUUAGUUAGUUAGUUAAUCUGCCUAGUAACCAAGUAGGUUAGCACAAAGUAAGCUUGAAAUAAGUUGGUUAAUUACUUAGAGAAAAAUAGGCUAGUAUAUAACAGAAAAUGAAAGUACAAAUAAACUUAGUGAGUCUGAAAGUUUGUUAGUCAAAAAAAAGAGGAAGUUUGUGAUUUACUGACUUGUUAAUUAAGGUAGUAAUUAAGUGACAAUGAAUAUAAGAAACCAAGGUGGCAAGUAAGGGAGCAGGUUGUUCAAAGAUAUGUCAGCCAUUUUGCUAGUGACUCUAACUUUGCAGGUGAAGAAAAAGUAAGUUUGUAAGUGAGACAGUAUAUAAGCCUGCAAUUUAGUAAUUCAGUUACCAGCUUAAUGGGUAAGCAAUACAAUACAUGAGUAAUACAGUUAUAAAGUAAAAAUUAGGUUUUUCAGUAAGCCAUGAAGUCUAUGAGUAAACAAGUAAGUAACAAAGUUAGUUAGUUUUUAGUUAGGUAUUUCUCAAAGGUCAAUAUUACAGAGAUUCUUGUGCAGCCAGCUGAUAACCGGAUGAAGGAUAACUGAGGCCAAGGUUUCUUGUCUUGUGUGUAGGUAAUUGUCUGAACAACACAUAUGAAAAAUGGUUUCUAAAUAUUAAAUUACAGUCAGAAAAAAAAAUUCCUUUUGUUAUUAAUAAAGUCUAGAUGUUUUCCUCAGCUUUUUCUGCAAACACAAACCAGGAAGCUUUCAGUGUCAAAAGCCCUUGUCCCUUGCCAGCCGACUGUGCAGAUUCACCCACAGAAUUUGUGUUUUGGGCAUUACCUUUGACAACAGGAGCGCUCUGAGAGGACGUGUUGCACAUCAGAGAGGUUUGCCUUCAGGGCUUCCUGCCAGGAAGUUUCUCCAGCAUGACGUUUGCAUUUUGAAAGCACCUAAUUUAACUAGAGGUUUUGUCCAAAAAAAAAACACACAAGUAGUUUUAUUACCUAAGUGUAAGCAAGCACUGAAAUAAAACAGGUUUACAGCAGAACUAAAUCCAGAUGGUACGCUAAUGUCACUGAUAUGCAUUAUCUCGACCCAUCGCCAACUGGAGCCUAUUUGCCAGGCGGACUGUGUCACUAAAUAUCCCGCCUCGCCUGACUCAAAAGCUCUUUCUGGGGGUUAAAUUAGCAAAACAGUGAAAAGGCUCUGCCACUUUAUGUUCCUUUAGAACUAGGGAGAACCAACGAUGCAUAGAUACUGUUCUGGGUUUAUGCUUAUACCAAAAUAAGUUGCAAGUGUGCAACAGAAAUACUUUAAAGUACUUGAGUAGAUAAUUCAAGGACAAUCAGUAGUUGUAGUAGUCCGUCUUCAUGGAAUUGUAGCAUUGCAGUAUUCAUAGCCCUAUUAUUGCUGGAAUAAAGACUUUUAGAGUCCACUGUAAGAUGAGAAAGUGUUAAAGGUAACAAGAGAGACAAAAGACGCAGCACACUGGGAUCUUCAUUUUUCAACCACAGGCAAUUAUGAAAAUAAUGCUUCAAGUUUAGGUUACAUGUUAUGAAUCUUCCUCGAGGCCCGACCCUCACCUUGCCUUGCCCUGUCAGAUCGGGUUAGGAGUUAGACCGGCGCAGGGAUGUGACAGCUGGAAAUGGUUUGAGGAUCUCUGGAUAGUUUGUUUUCAGAGCACGCUGCGGGACUGGAUGAAAGACAUGCGUAAGUUGGCCCGUGGCUGCAAUGCUUAUGCGCCUCAAGGCAAUAAAAGUGUUACUGUGAAUUUGAUCACUGUUUAAGGCCUGCACUGCAGCACUAUUAGCAAGUUCUAAGUGCUCGGCGUUAAAGUGUGACAGACGGAUCCGAGCUGCGCAGGUAUCUCGGUAGUGUGUGACUGUCCCAGCUAAUUGGCCUCCUCUGUGUUUUGAGCACUUUGACCUAUCGGGGAUUCAUUUCCUGGCCUGUUGUGUUCCUAAGUAUGCAACAGGGGUUCUGGCAUAAUUCACACUCUCACUUCCCAAUCCCUCUCAGAUGGCGGGGUGCUUUUCCUCUCUUUAUGACCAAAUAAAUCUGACUGGUGCUAAAGGAGAGAGAGAGAGAGAGAGAGAAAAAAAAACGGGAUUAAAAUUCCCCAUUCGCUUUCUCGAGGAGCCCAGCUGCAUUGCACUGUUUGUUUUCCACGGCGCUCAGAGCAGCUGCAGAGAGGUGGGCCAAAUCAAAACAGCAAGGACGUAUUUUUGUUGGCAUGCGCUUUCCCAUUCACUUAGCAAUAAUUGUAUUGUGAAAUUAGAAAAGAGCAACACAAGCUAGGAUUAGUGUCACACGCUUAAAAGGUGCUUUAAGUGUAGCAGCUCCAAAAAGCGGUGCUCAUUGCCUUUUGUCAAGAUAAGGUUCUCCCUCCUCAUAUGACACAAUGCAUCAGCACACACCGUGUUACAAAGCAGACCCCUUGGACACAAGAGCAAAGUUUGCAGAUGAAGUAAGCUCCCCAGACCAACAUUUAUCACUGUUUACCUAAACUAAGAUGAUUCAAGCAACACACUGAAGCUAUUUUAACAGUAACACAUGAGUGGCAGCCAACUCGCACCGCAGGAGGAGAGGUGUCGAUGUGCUCGGAGAUAACGCCGGGAAGAAAUGUGGUGCGGCAGGUAAGACAUGUCAGAGAGCAAUAUUAUCUGGGCUGCUGGGCUGAUUCUCAACAAAUGCCAUCUGAAUGUAAAUGAGCGUGACUGCCCAGCAGGUUUAUGACGGCUGUCUUGCUCAGCUUAAUGUGAUCUCUCCACACCUGCCGUGACCUUGCAGCAAACUCUGACAGAGAAAACAAGUCGGACUGUGCGCUUUGUUUGAAUGACACCACUGCUCUUGCGCCAUUUUGACUCAUUGUGAGUGAGUGAGCUACGCUGAAAAGACACGAAAGUGAUGUUUUCGAUACCUUCAGUCCCAAAUUAUUGCAAACCUUUCAAUGAAUUAACGGGUAAUAUUUAAAGGACAGCUUGAACCUACAGUGAAUGGAGAGGUAAGACUCGACCCCAAUUCUAGACAAUCCUUUGUAGAAUCAUAUAACAUUGGUCUUUGCAAUGUUUUUUAUUCACCAAUGUUCUGUCAAUAUCAAAGUUAAAUGUAUUUGCAGUGUAUAGCACAUUUACAAACAACAAAAGCAGACCGACAUGCUUCACAGUUUCACAAAAAAACCCCCAACUAAACAAUACAAUCAAAUACAGAAUAAAGCAGAGAAUAGAAGAUAGUAAAGCAAAUAAAAGCCAAGCGAAACUUUUUAGUACCCCAAGGCUAGGGGGGAGUGAUGAGUUUUUAAAUGAUUGUCUGGUUUGAGACUAAAUUAUGCAGAAAUGGAGUAAUUACAUCACUUCUGAAGGAAAGUGGUUGGACAGUAUUUUAUUUAGGGGCAUUAAACCCUUUGACUGUCAUGAUGACUCUUCAUGAACCCAUUGACUUGAACAUGUAAACAUCCAGAGGGUGACAGUUGAAGGGUUGAAGCUAAGUGGGGUGAAGAAAAAUGCACUCCACACUUCUCAGAUUUUUCGGUAAAAAAAAAAAGAAA